UGAGUGAGGGGAAAGAAGAGAGG
rnacentral:misc_RNA from 1 species